AUAAAGCUGACCGUUGCAAGUUGGAAACAGGACGGAAUUAAAGUGAAGCCAAUCUUGAAAAAAAAACAGAAAAGAAUGAAACACCAAUCGAUUAUAUACGGGAUGCUUGAUCACGGGUUUUUGGAUGACAUUUUGUUCAUUAAUAAUGAGAGCAAUCAUCAAUCGAUUUUUAUUUUUUUCUUUCCAAAAUGUUAUCCAUUCAUUUUCCAUGAACGCUGAGAUUUGAAAAAAACUCCGCAAGUGAAACAUCGGACGAUUUAAUUUCGUCGAAUAAUGGUAGAGUAAAAGCUGGGGA
rnacentral:antisense_RNA from 1 species